CCUACGGGGGGCUGCAGUGGGGAAUAUUGGACAAUGGGGGAACCCUGAUCCAGCCAUGCCGCGUGUGUGAAGAAGGCCCUCGGGUUGUAAAGCACUUUCAGUGAGGAAGAACGCCUGGUGGUUAAUACCCAUCAGGAAAGACAUCACUCACAGAAGAAGCACCGGCUAACUCCGUGCCAGCAGCCGCGGUAAUACGGAGGGUGCGAGCGUUAAUCGGAAUUACUGGGCGUAAAGCGCGCGUAGGUGGCUUGAUAAGCCGGUUGUGAAAGCCCCGGGCUCAACCUGGGAACGGCAUCCGGAACUGUCAAGCUAGAGUGCAGGAGAGGAAGGUAGAAUUCCCGGUGUAGCGGUGAAAUGCGUAGAGAUCGGGAGGAAUACCAGUGGCGAAGGCGGCCUUCUGGACUGACACUGACACUGAGGUGCGAAAGCGUGGGUAGCAAACAGGAUUAGAUACCCGAGUAGUC
rnacentral:rRNA from 1 species